rnacentral:tRNA from 1 species
GUGUCCAGGGAUGGGAAUCGAACCCACAGUGUUCCGCUUACCGGGCAGAUGCCAUGUCCACUAGGCACAUGUA